CGAGUGCUGGCCCAUCGUGGGUCAGUUUUCAAGCAUUGGUUCUCUGGGGCCUGAUGAGUCCAAGUGGCUGUGCUCAGAGUUUAAAGAGAGCUUGCUGGCACAGAGAGAAGAUGGCGGAACUCCAGGGAAAAGUGCAGCUCUUCUUCAUCUGAUCUAACCUUCUGUGGAAAACGUGCGGACCAGCUUAGAAGGAUAUCCUGCUGGGGGCUCCCUUCCCUAUAGCAUCCAGACAGCUGAGAAACAGAAUUGGCUGCAUUCCUACUUUCACAAGUGGUCAGCAGAGACAUCUGGCCGGAGCA